GGCUCAGGACGAACGCUGGCGGCGUGCCUAACACAUGCAAGUCGAGCGGGGACAUUUAACAGAACGGAAGUUUCGGACGGAAGGGAAGAUAAGUGUUCUAGCGGCGGACGGGUGAGUAACGCGUGAGCAACCUGUCCUUCACAGGGGGAUAACACAGCGAAAGCUGUACUAAUACCGCAUAAGACCACGGUACCGCAUGGUGCAGGGGUCAAAGGAGGAAUCCGGUGAAGGGUGGGCUCGCGUCCGAUUAGAUAGUUGGUGAGGUAACGGCCCACCAAGUCAACGAUCGGUAGCCGACCUGAGAGGGUGAUCGGCCACAUUGGGACUGAGACACGGACCCAACUCCUACGGGAGGCAGCAGGUGGGGAAUAUUGGGCAAUGGGGGAAACCCUGACCCAGCAACGCCGCGUGAGGGAAGAAGGUUUUCGGAUCGUAAACCUCUGUCCUAGGUGAAGAGGAAGAGACGGUAGCCUAGGAGGAAGCCCCGGCUAACUACGUGCCAGCAGCGGC
rnacentral:rRNA from 1 species